UGAGCAAUCUGCCCCUCUCAUCGGAAUAAGCGUUGGAAACGACGUCUAAUGCCGAAUACGACCUCCUUUCACAUGAUCGGAGGUGGAAAGCUCCGGCGGAGAAGGAUGAGCUCGCGGCCUACCAGCUAGUUGGUGAGGUAACGGCCCACCAAGGCGACGACGGGUAGCUGGU
rnacentral:rRNA from 1 species